rnacentral:rRNA from 1 species
GACGAACGCUGGCGGCGUGCUUAACACAUGCAAGUCGAACGGAAAGGCCCUGCUUUUGUGGGGUGCUCGAGUGGCGAACGGGUGAGUAACACGUGAGUAACCUGCCCUUGACUUUGGGAUAACUUCAGGAAACUGGGGCUAAUACCGGAUAGGAGCUCCUGCUGCAUGGUGGGGGUUGGAAAGUUUCGGCGGUUGGGGAUGGACUCGCGGCUUAUCAGCUUGUUGGUGGGGUAGUGGCUUACCAAGGCUUUGACGGGUAGCCUGCCUGAGAGGGUGACCGGGCACAUUGGUACUGAGAUACGGCCCAGACUCCUACGGGAGGCAGCAGUGGGGAAUAUUGCACAAUGGGCGGAAGCCUGAUGCAGCAACGCCGCGUGCGGGAUGACGGCCUUCGGGUUGUAAACCGCUUUCGCCUGUGACGAAGCGUGAGUGACGGUAAUGGGUAAAGAAGCACCGGCUAACUACGUG